UGCCAGCCGCCGCGGUAAUACGGAGGGUGCAAGCGUUGUUCGGAAUUAUUGGGCGUAAAGCGCGUGUAGGCGGUUCGUUAAGUCUGAUGUGAAAGCCCUGGGCUUAACCUGGGAAUGGCAUUCGAUACUGCAGAGCUAGAGUAAGGUAGAGGGAAGUGGAAUUUCCGGUGUAGCGGUGAAAUGCGUAGAUAUCGGAAGGAACACCAGUGGCGAAGGCGACUUCCUGGGCCAUUACUGACGCUGAGGUGCGAAAGCGUGGGGAGCAAACAGGAUUAGAUA
rnacentral:rRNA from 1 species